rnacentral:rRNA from 1 species
UACGGGGGGGGCAAGCGUUGUUCGGAAUUACUGGGCGUAAAGGGCUCGUAGGCGGCCAACUAAGUCAUACGUGAAAUCCCUCGGCUUAACCGGGGAACUGCGUCUGAUACUGGAUGGCUUGAGAUUGGGAGAGGGAUGCGGAAUUCCAGGUGUAGCGGUGAAAUGCGUAGAUAUCAUGAGGAAGACCAGUGGCGAAGGCGGGUCUCUGGACAGUUCCUGACACUGAGACACGAAGGCCAGGGGAGCAAACGGG